AGUUUGAUCCUGGCUCAGGAUGAACGCUAGCGGCAGGCCUAAUACAUGCAAGUCGGACGGAAGCUUUCGGGCUUUAGUGGCAAACGGGUGCGUAACGCGUAAGCAACCUGCCUCAAACUGGGGGAUAGCCCGGCGAAAGCUGGGGUAAACCCGCACGGUUCCCAGUUAUCACCUGGUAGUUGGGCUAAACAUUUAUGGGUUUGAGAGGGGCUUGCGUCUGAUUAGGUAGUUGGUGGGGUAACGGCUCACCAAGCCGAUGAUCAGUAGGGGUUCUGAGAGGAUUGGCCCCCACAUGGGUACUGAGAUACGGACCCAACUCCUACGGGAGGCAGCAGUAGGGAAUAUUGGGCAAUGGACGGAAGUCUGACCCAGCCAUGCCGCGUGGAGGAAGACGGCGCUCAGCGUUGUAAACUCCUUUUAUCAGGGAAGAACUAUGGGGAUGCGUCCUUAU
rnacentral:rRNA from 1 species